GUUUUCUCGAAGAUGAAGGAAGAAACGUAUGGCUAUUUCCCGUUAAUGAUAAUAAUCAGACAUCGACCGAGUAUCCUUUUUUUGUCAUAUAACGGAACUAGUUUCUACGUUGGGUAGACAGGCCUAUUAACUUGAUUUUUCAAUCGUAGCGUAGUUACAGGCGCAUACCUGUAUACUCGUCCAGUGUAAUACAAUGUGAAGAAUACCGUGACAUAACUAAUGCUAGUGAAAUUGGCAAAAUUGUAUAGCAAUGGGAGGAGUUCUAGUUAAUUGAAGAAAAUUAAUCGAACUGUACGAAGGAAAAUUGUUGAAGCGAAUUAUACGCUGAUAUACGUUUCACGAAUAAGAGAUUAUUCGACAACAGAGUUCGUACGUAUAAAAUACUCGUGUCUUAUUUAAUUACUUUACUAGAGAAUUAUUUAUUUUAAUAUUAGAAGAUUUUAGAAUCAUUUCGUUAUUUCAUAGUUCGCGUUUCGUACGAAUUCGAACAAUGUAAUACCUAAAGUUCGUUUUUACAAAAGUUUCCAUGCAAAAGUUAGGAUAAUCGUUAAGAAGAGUCUAAUCUAUAUUUUUGUAAUUUCAAUCACAAUCAGAAACGUCGAUAAAUCUCUUAAAUUACAGAAGAUUCGGUGUACACGUAAACCACGCUCGGCUUCGACCAAAGCAAGUUACGUUAUUUUCAACAAAAUCGUCGAAUCGUGCGAAAUCGCCGUGUAGAUUUUGUUGCUGUUAAUGCGAAGGUGAAGUUUCAUCGAGAACGAGGUACUAGAGAAAAUAUUGGUAAACAAUAACGUUGCUAAAAAGCCUGACGUCUUACCUUCAUUGUUUCGCCUUCCGAGCAAGAAGUUCCUCAAACGAAGAAAUUAUAAUUUUCAGAUUUAUCACCCGUGCAACUUGGCGUUCUCACUGGAAGGAAAAGACGGGAAAACGAUAAAAAAUAGGAAAAGAAUGUGCCGCAAGUUACGGCCACAAAUAAUCGAACACGAGUUAACGCGCGCGAUGAUUGGACAUUGAGGGAGCACUGUGUGUUCUGCACGCAAUUAGGUCAUUGUCCUUCAUUUAUACUCGCAACCGGCGAACGUAUCAUCGAAGGCCGAAACGCUGUGCCUCCUACCUUACUCUGACGGAUAACAGCUGCUUCGAAAUGCGGAACGUAACCGGGAAAAGUCAUGGGUUCCACGAAAUUCACAAGAAUUCCCAAUUCUGCGUUUGUUCGUUCUGCGUGUGCAACGGAAGCGAAUCUCAGUUAAUCGUAUCACAGAACGAGUUGGAACGUUUCAAUGGCAGAUUGUAUUUUAUUAAAUCUACUACGAUGGAUGGAAGAAGAAUUCGAUGGCAGGAAAGUCGAUUUACGAGUGUACCAGGGGCCCUUUGCGAGUCGGCAGAUGGGCAGAGUGAUCGAAGACCGGUUAAACGCCGUUUCUCUCCAUAUCCUGCUACUGGAUUCCCUCGUGAGGAUACACCUGUGUGCGUGGAUACGCGCGGACCAACGUGUGUGAUCCAGUGACCCACUAUAUUCAUCGGUGCUACCCGUUCGAUAUCUUUCAGCAAUGUAUUUGGAAAGAACUGGUGUUAUUCAGGAUUGAAGGUUCAUUGCACUCGAUAGGAAGCAUUGAUGAAAGGAGAUCGAGGCUGGAUGUUGGUUCAGACGUUUUAUUUCCUGAUUGUCGUUCGUUGCUCCUCAUAUUCGUCGCUCAUAUUCGUUUGCACGCAAUAAUAUGAGAACAAAGUAACGCACCUUCCAACACAGUAUCGAAGGCGAACUGGAGAAAAAGCGAUAGAACUAUUCGGGAUAACGGAAGAGCCACGUUCUCUGGAUGCUGAGUAUCGUAUCACGCUGAGCUUCCGUGGUUCCGAGCAACGCAAUGUUCACGAGUAACGAAAUGCGGAGUAGAAUAUGGACGAUAAGAUAUACGAGGAAUGAAACAGGACACAGAAGACGUGGCGAAGUCUCGAUAAGUCGCGAAAGAAAAUUAGAAAAAUCACGACGCCUACGAUCGAACGACUGAGAAAUCGCAGACUCCGGUCUCUCGUCAGCUGCUGCAUGAUCG